GGCGCGUUCGGCGAGCGCGGGCCGGUCGCCGUAUCCCGUCAAGGUGCGCUUGACGAUCUCGGCAAGCCGCAGUCCGGGCUCCGCGGCGCUCUC
rnacentral:tRNA from 1 species